GUUUGGUUAAGUUAGAAAGGGCGCACGGUGGAUGCCUUGACACUAGGAGUCGAUGAAGGACGGGACUAACGCCGAUAUGCUUCGGGGAGCUGUAAGUAAGCUUUGAUCCGAAGAUUUCCGAAUGGGGAAACCCACCAUACGUAAUGGUAUGGUAUCCUUAUCUGAAUACAUAGGGUAAGGAAGACAGACCCAGGGAACUGAAACAUCUAAGUACCUGGAGGAAGAGAAAGCAAAUGCGAUUUCCUGAGUAGCGGCGAGCGAAACGGAACAUAGCCCAAACCAAGAGGCUUGCCUCUUGGGGUUGUAGGACAUUCUAUACGGAGUUACAAAGGAACGAGGUAGACGAAGCGACCUGGAAAGGUCCGUCGUAGAGGGUAACAACCCCGUAGUCGAAACUUCGUUCUCUCUUGAAUGUAUCCUGAGUACGGCGGAACACGUGAAAUUCCGUCGGAAUCUGGGAGGACCAUCUCCCAAGGCUAAAUACUUCCUAGUGAUCGAUAGUGAACCAGUACCGUGAGGGAAAGGUGAAAAGCACCCCGGAAGGGGAGUGAAAGAGAUCCUGAAACCGUGUGCCUACAAAUAGUCAGAGCCCGUUAACGGGUGAUGGCGUGCCUUUUGUAGAAUGAACCGGCGAGUUACGAUCCCGUGCGAGGU
rnacentral:rRNA from 1 species